rnacentral:rRNA from 1 species
UACAGAGGUCUCAAGCGUUGUUCGGAUUCAUUGGGCGUAAAGGGUGCGUAGGCGGCGCGGUAAGUCGGGUGUGAAAUCUCGGAGCUUAACUCCGAAACUGCAUUCGAUACUGCCGUGCUGAUGAGACUGGAGAGGAGACUGGAAUUUACGGUGUAGCGGUGAAAUGCGUAGAUAUCGUAAGGAAGACCAGUGGCGAAGGCGGGUCUCUGGACAGUUCCUGACGCUGAGGCACGAAGGUCAGGGGAGCAAACGGG